rnacentral:misc_RNA from 1 species
GGAAUCAAAUCCAUGUAAUUAAGUGCCAUCACAAAUCAAACAACCUAAAGUACCUCAAACAUAAAUCUAGCAAAGAGUUGGUGAUAUUCAUCAUAAAGAUUCCAAGCAUAAUUUUGAAGGCCAUUGACGUAGUUGAUAAAUAUUGAAUGAUUUAGGAUUUAUCAAAAGUUCAUAGUUAUUAAAUAGCAAACUUUCUCUACUUUUCAUUUGAUAAAACAAGAUUUAUGUAAAUAGUCAUAAAAUUAUCUGGUUGAAUUCAUGAG